CCUCACCACCGGUGUUCCCCUCUCCACCCCCGACACCGGUUUACUCACCUCCACCGGUGUUCUCGCCUCCGCCACCGGUGCUCUCUUCCCCACCACCACCAUCACCGCCACCGCCAUCUCCUUCGCCUCCACCACCUCCAGUUUACUCCCCUCCUCCACCUCCACCAGUUUACUCACCUCCACCACCCCCUCCUCCCCCACCGCCACCACCACCUGUUUAUUUUCCGCCACCACCUCCACCUUCACCACCACCACCGUCUCCCCCUCCACCCUCACCCCCACCACCUUCUCCAUCACCGCCUCCCCCUCCCUCGCCACCACCACCGGUAUUAUCGCCCCCGCCUCCAGUUUAUUGCGUCCGUUCCCCACCACCGCCACCGCCAAAUUCUCCCCCGCCUCCCAUUUAUUCUCCACCACCACCUCCAGUUCAUUCACCGCCCCCACCAAGUCCUUACUAUAGUUCACCACCGCCCCCGCCGCCACAUCAUUCACCUCCACCACCUCCCCACUCGCCACCCCCGCCUCCACCUAUCUAUCCAUACGCAUCACCGCCACCGCCACCCGUGCAUUCCCCACCACCACCUGUCCAUUCUCCACCACCUCCAUGCAUAGAACCGCCUCCUCCUUCUCCACCACCCCCAUCACCACCUCCAUGCAUAGAACCGCCUCCUCCUCCUUCUCCACCACCAUGUGUAGAAUAUUCGCCACCUCCACCAUCACCACACUCACCACCGCCACCACCAGUUCAUUACUUGCCUCCACCAUCACCAUCACCCCCACCACCACCUGUGUAUGCUUCUCCGCCACCUCCACCAUCUCUGCCUCCCCCAGUUUACUACCAUUCUCCGCCCCCACCCUCACCACCUCCUCCAACCCCAUGUGAAAAUCCUCCACCUACUCCAUCACCACCGCCCCCAAUCAUUUAUGAGAGCCCACCACCUCCAACCCCUGUAUAUGAGGGGCCAUUGCCACCAAUCUUUGGAGUUUCAUACGCUUCUCCACCGCCACCAC
rnacentral:lncRNA from 1 species